GACGAUGAGGUUUGAAUCAAAACAUAGCUUCUUUAAACAGAUUGCUCGUCACACCAACUGUUUUAAAAACAUAGCUCUCACACUAUCGGCAAAGCACCAGCUAAUGAUUGCUUUUCAUUUGCAUUCCUCUUGCCUUAAGAAGCCAUUAUUUGAAGUAACAAAUGUUUCAUUGAUUCCAGUUGAAGUGUUGAACAAGGAAAUAGCUUGCACCAUCAAACAGAGAUACCCAGAUGUAAUGGAAGUUAGUCUUGCCAAGUCUGUUAAUGCAAAUGGAAUAAGUUACAAAACAGGAAUGAUUCUUGCUCAUGGAUCACUCGCAGGCCUCCCUGAAUUUGUGGAAAUUAUGCAAAUUUGCAUUUUUCAAGACAAGUUGAGUUUCAUUUGCAAGAAGUUAUGUUGCUGGUACAGAGAGCAUUUUAGAGCAUUUGAAGUAAAUGCAUCACAUCUGAGAGAGUUGGUCAUUGUCGAGCAUGCUGAACUGUUAGAUGACUAUCCACUGGUGUGCUACUUGGUGGGGGCUGUCCAGAUGCUGACUUUGAAGAGAUACAUUCACGUAGCAGCAUAAUAGAUGUGAAGUUACUUGUUCCUGCUUGCAGAGGCUUGAGUUGGAUGUGACUUUCAAAGGCUGUACACUACGAGAUAAUUUUGAGAACUGAUAAAUAGAGCAAUGGCUCGACCAGUGAAACUUAGAGUAAUUUUAGCUGAUGAUGAUGCCAGGAAGUUGAUCCUGCCUGAAGGGCUUCCUAGUACUACUGAGGACCUUGCACAAAAAAUCACUGAAAUGUUCCAGCUUGAUGGGGAUAUCCGCUUGCAAUAUCAAGAUGACGAUUUUGGUGGCGAGUUUGUGAAUUUAACAACAAUUACUGAUGUUCAAGAUAAAGGAACCUUAAAGGUCAUCAUCAAGACUACAGGACAAAACCAGAGUGCAGCAUCAACUCCUGCUCGCUUAAUGCUGUGCCAGGCAGACGAUUCUGUAUCUGUAUCUUCAUUUGAAACUGACGACACUGUUCUUCUUUCUUCUCCUGAUGGGUCAGUGCAAUCCACAACAAGAUCUACUCCAUGGCCACUUGUAUUCCCAAUUCCACGCUUCUCCUAUGACUCUGAAAUAAUUCUACAGCAAGCUAAUACUGAAUACCAUGAGAACGGAAAUCGUCUCAAUCCGUCUCCAAAGCUGAAGUCACACAUUCUAGAAGUCCUAGCUGAGGAAAUCAUAAAAUACAAAGCAUAUCCAACUGAUCUAGACCUUAACACAGUGGCAGAAGCAUUAAUUAAUAAACACCCUUGCUUGCGAGAACAAGGCUCCUACAAUGGUUGCUAUGGGUGGAAAAUAAGCCUCAAAUAUAAGAUGGCAAACUUUCGUACUAAGCUCAGAAGUGUUGGGUGUUCAGAAGUAAGCAUAAACUCAAUGAAGAACAAACGCCAAGAUCAGUACCAUGCUGCUUCAAACAUCAAAAAGCCUAGAAGAGCCGAAGUAAAUUACUGCCCUCAACAUCCGAAGGGAGAAACGUCUGAAAGUUUAGAGAGGGAA